rnacentral:rRNA from 1 species
AUGCAAGCUCGAACGGAUAUUAUUAUCUGGAAGCUUUUCGGAUGGAAAAUAAUAAUGUUAGUGGCGGACGGGUGAGCUAACGCGUGAGUAAUCUGCCCAUAAGAGGGGAACAACAGUUGGAAACGACUGCUAAUACCGCAUAAGGUGUAGCAAUACAUUAAAGGUGGCCUCUGAAUAUGCUAUCGCUUAUGGAUGAGCUCGCGUCUGAUUAGCUAGUUGGUGGGGUAAAGGCCUACCAAGGCGACGAUCAGUAGCCGGCCUGAGAGGGUGAACGGCCACACUGGGACUGAGACACGGCCCAGACUCCUACGGGAGGCAGCAGUGGGGAAUAUUGCGCAAUGGGGGAAACCCUGACGCAGCGACGCCGCGUGAGCGAAGAAGGCCUUCGGGUUGUAAAGCUCUGUUUUAAGGGACGAAAGUUGCGCAUAGUAACUGAUGAGUAAUAGACGGUACCUUAAGAGGAAGCCCCGGCUAACUACGUGCCAGCAGCCGCGGUAAGACGUAGGGGGCGAGCGUUGUCCGGAAUUACUGGGCGUAAAGAGCACGUA